AGCUCCAAUAGCGUAUAUUAAAGUUGCUGCAGUUAAAAAGCUCGUAGUUGCAUUUCCGAGGCAAGGGAUUAGUCCGACCUUUGGUGGGUAUUUAAUCCUCUUGCCUCGUCCUUGAGUGGUGCUUCUUGGUAUUAAGUUAUCGAGGAGAUAGCCGCUCAUCGUUUACUGUGAGAAAAUUAGAGUGUUCAAAGCAGGCUUAUGCCGUUGAAUAUAUUAGCAUGGAAUAAUAAGAUAGGACCUCGGUACUAUUUUGUUGGUUUGAGAACCAAGGUAAUGAUGAAUAGGGACAGUUGGGGGUAUUCGUAUUCAGUGGUCAGAGGUGAAAUGCUUAGAUUUACGGAAGACGAACUACUGCGAAAGCAUUUACCAAGGAUGUUUUCA
rnacentral:rRNA from 1 species